rnacentral:rRNA from 1 species
GAUGAACGCUGGCGGCGUACCUAAUACAUGCAAGUCGAGCGAACAGACGAGGAGCUUGCUCCUCAGACGUUAGCGGCGGACGGGUGAGUAACACGUGGAUAACCUACCUAUAAGACUGGGAUAACUUCGGGAAACCGGAGCUAAUACCGGAUAAUAUAUUGAACCGCAUGGUUCAAUAGUGAAAGACGGUUUUGCUGUCACUUAUAGAUGGAUCCGCGCCGCAUUAGCUAGUUGGUAAGGUAACGGCUUACCAAGGCGACGAUGCGUAGCCGACCUGAGAGGGUGAUCGGCCACACUGGAACUGAGACACGGUCCAGACUCCUACGGGAGGCAGCAGUAGGGAAUCUUCCGCAAUGGGCGAAAGCCUGACGGAGCAACGCCGCGUGAGUGAUGAAGGUCUUCGGAUCGUAAAACUCUGUUAUUAGGGAAGAACAAAUGUGUAAGUAACUAUGCACGUCUUGACGGUACCUAAUCAGAAAGCCACGGCUAACUACGUG